GGAUGUGUAAUUUUAUUUUUGUUGGAUGGUUUGAAAUAUUUAGGUUCAUGUUGUCAUUCUUCUAGUUUUAUUUUUGAAUAAUUAUAAUUUGUGACAAUUUUUAGAAUAAUGACUAAGUGUAGUAAUUAGAGGUUUAAGAAUAACUUGGGUAAUCCAACAACUUGGAUUAUCCAAUCCAUAUUAUAUGGGUUGGGUUGGGUUAGGUUAAAAUAUGGAUUGGAUUGGGUUGGGUUGAAAAAAAUGAAUUUUUUUUAGUUGGGUUUAGUCUCGGGUUGUAAGGUUGAAAAAUUCGAUCAUAUAUAUAUAUAUAUAUAAAUAAAUAUUCCUCUCUUCUCACUCUCAAUCCUCCUUUGCGCGUCGCAUCCCUUUUAUUCUCACAUCUCCUACGUCUUCGACAUCUCCUUCGUCUCUUACUUUCCUUCAUCUCUGACUCUCCUUGUCCUACUUAUCCCGCGCAUUCCUUAUAUUAUCACAUCUCCUCCGUCUUCGACAUCUUCAUUUCUAACUCUCCUCUAUCUUUGAUCUUCACAGUUCAUCUCGUUAGAUCUCAGAUCUCAUAUACUCGCAGUUCGACGUCAUGUUCUUCUUUGUCAAUCUCUUCAGCUUCUGAAUAACCCGACAAUCCAAUUUAUAUUUUAUGGGUUGGUUUAGAAACUUGAUUUAACCCAAAUAACCUAAAAGUAUGGGUUUGGUUGAGAUGUUUCUCAACCCAACCUUACUACACCCUUAACAGCAACUUUUUUAAAAAUUGCAGAUAUAGCAAAAUUCUUUAGUGAUAAACUUCUAUCGCUCAUAGAUUAUUAUGGUCUAUCAUGAUUGAUUUUGACAGAUUUUGCUUUAUUUGUAAAUUUUUUAAAAUGUUGCUAUAUAUUUAAUUAUUUUAAAUUUAAUUACUAUAUUUGCAACUAUUCUUUUAUUUUGUGUGGUUCUUCUAUUAUUUGGUACACUUUAUAUAUUAUUAUUUUCUUUGGUUUUAUUAUAUUAUGAGAUAUAUUCUGUUAAUUUUGUGCAAAAUACUCUACACAUAUUUUACUUGCUAUAUGUUUCUUUUCUUUGAUUCUUCCAUUUAUCUUUUAAUUCUCUUUUGAAUAUUUAUUUUCUUGAAAAUCUUGGAUUGUAUUUUGUGGAUUUUUUUCUUAACGUGCACUUCAUCUUUUGAGGUCAAAUGUUUAAUCUAUCAUUUGAUUUAUGUAUCAUGGUCUUAUUUAAGAACGGAAGAGUUCACUACAUUCGAAAAAUCAAGACUCUGUUUACGAACUCUUUCCAAAACACUUCUUGGACGUUUCUUUUUGUUUUUGUUUUUGUUUUUUUCUUUGAAAAAUAAGAUAUUUUACAAAACUUUUGAAAAACUGCAUGAGCAAGGAUGUUGGCCACACACAGGGCAAUGAGCAGCAAGGCAACAUGCACCAUGGUGCGCGGAAGAUGUUGUCUUGGUGCCAUCUUUGCACAUGCGGAAGCGAACUUUCAAAUGGCAUUUACAAAACAUUGGGGAAAACACUUUUUUUCUUCCUAUUUUCUUCUAGAAAGUCUUUCCAGAACAUAUGUAUAUAUAUGUGUGUGUAUAUACAUAUAUAUUUGCAAAAUCUCUCGUUUAAAAGGUCUAUACAAGAACAUGUUCUAAAAGUUUUCUCGCUUCAAAUUCUGUUUACGAACUCUUUCCAAAACACUUCUUGGACGUUUCUUUUUGUUUUUUUUUUGUUUUUUCUUUGAAAAAUAAGAUAUUUUACAAAACUUUUGAAAAACUGCAUGAGCAAGGAUGUUGGCCACACACACGGCAAUGAGCAGCAAGGCAACAUGGCCACACACUCGUUAGUUGUGAGCUCAACUGGGAUUGAGAGUACAAUUGUCCCGCAUAUCAUUCAUUCCAUUAGCUAAUCGCUUCUGUUGCGAUCCUUGGUGGUUCAACCCAUUUGUUCUUUCAUAUCAAUCGUAGUACAACCCAAUCGCUCUUAAGUUGACUUCUCAUACUUAUAGAUUAUGAUUCUCAAUUAUUUGGCUAAGAUAACUUCCAUCGUUGAGCCUCCCUCUACUGAUUCCAAUCACAUUUCUUAACUUUGUUUUCUCUCAUUAUUUGUUGUCAUUUGCUCAACAAGUAUUUAUAUAAAUCAUCCCAAAUCAACUCCCACUUUUCAGAUUUCCAUGGAUAUAAAAAGAAAUGGUGGCUCAUCAUUCGUACCAUUUCUUUUGUUGAUGGGCAUGAAUUACGGGUCAUUAUGAACUCACCAACAAGCAACCAACCAUUUUGACUCCUUGUUAGUACUUAAAAGUUAACAACUUUAAUCAUCUUCUACUAGAUAAAAUAAGUUGUGUUUUCAAAGUUCAUGUGUAAAGCAAAAGAGAUUGUCUUAUAGUGACUUUAACAUAGAUUACACUCCCAUUGUGAAAUAAUAUAUAACUAUAUUUAUAUCAACUAUAUAUUACAUAUAUAACAAAACCCUAAAAUAAAGUUAAGUUGUCCAAAAUAACAAACUAGCGUCCUCCUUGAAAAAUUAUAAAAAUUUCAAGUUAGAUUGUCUUGGAUUUUAGGAUGUAUUAAGGCUAUCUCCAUGUAUUAGAGAAUAUAAGAAAUUCUAUUUAACAAUUUAAAAAAUUAUAAGAUUUUUUUGUAGCCUUAUCCUUGCAAUUGAAGUAGGAGAUUAAAUCCGAAACUCUUGUCGAAAUUGGGCAAGCAUGCUAGCCUGAAAAGAUUGGUUCCGUCGGAAAACAAGAGGGGUUGGUCAAUAUCGGUUUCAGAAAGUUUCAAAUUGAAAACUUUAAAAAAUUAUUUAUAAGUCGAUCAACCCAAUUAAUAUCAACUGACACUUACUCAUCAAUGUCGAUUUUGUAAAAAAUACCAUCUCCGACCGACCGAUUAACACCGAAGUCGGGAACUUACGCAUACUAGAUAAGUGUAGAGUAUAUAUAUCUUUUUCAAAUUUGAUUAAAUUACCAAAUAUUAUAUCCAAUUCUCUCUCUACCCUUUUUUUAUCUGCGUUCCCGCCCGCUCGGUGAACUCAUUUGCGCAGCUCUUUCCUCUUUCUCUUCUUUGUCUUCCUCUCGGCUUCACAAUCUUCAUCGUCAAUCUUUGAUCCAGCCUAAGAAGGCGCUGUACAUUAUAGGGUUUUAAGUAGAAGGUGAGUUUUCAGAUUGCUUUUAUAUCUUCUGUCAAGCUAUGAUGCUUUUGUACUUAUCGACCACUUUCUCAUGCAAGAAUAUUUGAGUUUGAGAAUUAUUUGCUGAAAUUUUUAUGGGUUUAUGGAGUAUUUUCUACUUUGUUUUGGCGGAGUUGAGUUUGCUUCUUAGGUGUAGAGAAGUUUGUUCAGUGUUGUUUUUGUUUUUGAGGCUACAACUCAAUGAAAAAACUCAUUGUGUUCAUGGAAUUAGGGUUUAUCUUGUUUAAUGGGGAACAGGCAUGUUUGGUAUUGAUUUGUGCAUUGUACUGGUAGUCGAGAUCGCAUUGCCAUCUUACAGUUGCUUAUUCUUUUUUUUCUUAUUUUCUUGAUAGUUAUUAGACAAUUGAAACCUCAUAAUUCAACCAAAAUUAAUUCACUUUUACAAAUAUUAGUUUUAGUAGUUUUUUAUUUUACUCAUUUGGUCAUAUAUUUCUUUUCUUUUGGAAUGGAUGUGUAAUUUUAUUUUUGUUGGAUGGUUUGAAAUAUUUAGGUUCAUGUUGUCAUUCUUCUAGUUUUAUUUUUGAAUAAUUAUAAUUUGUGACAAUUUUUAGAAUAAUGACUAAGUGUAGUAAUUAGAGGUUUAAGAAUAACUUGGGUAAUCCAACAACUUGGAUUAUCCAAUCCAUAUUAUAUGGGUUGGGUUGGGUUAGGUUAAAAUAUGGAUUGGAUUGGGUUGGGUUGAAAAAAAUGAAUUUUUUUUAGUUGGGUUUAGUCUCGGGUUGUAAGGUUGAAAAAUUCGAUCAUAUAUAUAUAUAUAUAUAUAAAUAAAUAUUCCUCUCUUCUCACUCUCAAUCCUCCUUUGCGCGUCGCAUCCCUUUUAUUCUCACAUCUCCUACGUCUUCGACAUCUCCUUCGUCUCUUACUUUCCUUCAUCUCUGACUCUCCUUGUCCUACUUAUCCCGCGCAUUCCUUAUAUUAUCACAUCUCCUCCGUCUUCGACAUCUUCAUUUCUAACUCUCCUCUAUCUUUGAUCUUCACAGUUCAUCUCGUUAGAUCUCAGAUCUCAUAUACUCGCAGUUCGACGUCAUGUUCUUCUUUGUCAAUCUCUUCAGCUUCUGAAUAACCCGACAAUCCAAUUUAUAUUUUAUGGGUUGGUUUAGAAACUUGAUUUAACCCAAAUAACCUAAAAGUAUGGGUUUGGUUGAGAUGUUUCUCAACCCAACCUUACUACACCCUUAACAGCAACUUUUUUAAAAAUUGCAGAUAUAGCAAAAUUCUUUAGUGAUAAACUUCUAUCGCUCAUAGAUUAUUAUGGUCUAUCAUGAUUGAUUUUGACAGAUUUUGCUUUAUUUGUAAAUUUUUUAAAAUGUUGCUAUAUAUUUAAUUAUUUUAAAUUUAAUUACUAUAUUUGCAACUAUUCUUUUAUUUUGUGUGGUUCUUCUAUUAUUUGGUACACUUUAUAUAUUAUUAUUUUCUUUGGUUUUAUUAUAUUAUGAGAUAUAUUCUGUUAAUUUUGUGCAAAAUACUCUACACAUAUUUUACUUGCUAUAUGUUUCUUUUCUUUGAUUCUUCCAUUUAUCUUUUAAUUCUCUUUUGAAUAUUUAUUUUCUUGAAAAUCUUGGAUUGUAUUUUGUGGAUUUUUUUUCUUAACGUGCACUUCAUCUUUUGAGGUCAAAUGUUUAAUCUAUCAUUUGAUUUAUGUAUCAUGGUCUUAUUUAAGAACGGAAGAGUUCACUACAUUCGAAAAAUCAAGACUCUGUUUACGAACUCUUUCCAAAACACUUCUUGGACGUUUCUUUUUGUUUUUGUUUUUGUUUUUUUCUUUGAAAAAUAAGAUAUUUUACAAAACUUUUGAAAAACUGCAUGAGCAAGGAUGUUGGCCACACACAGGGCAAUGAGCAGCAAGGCAACAUGCACCAUGGUGCGCGGAAGAUGUUGUCUUGGUGCCAUCUUUGCACAUGCGGAAGCGAACUUUCAAAUGGCAUUUACAAAACAUUGG
rnacentral:lncRNA from 1 species